CUGAAUUUUGAACCAGGGUCUGUAGUGACACCUCUAGCACUGAGAUGCAAUGCCUUAGACCGCUGCACCACUCAGGCACCCUGGAUUGGUAUAUCCACCAUUGUUUUAAAGUAGGCCUAAUGAUAUACACUGAGUGUACAAAACAUUAAGGACACCUUUCUAAUAUUGAGUUGCAACUCUCAUCUCUCCAGUAUUGCAGUUCAUCAUGUAUUUCUUUGUAUGUGUGUUUUGUGAGUCCACCAGAUCAGAGGCUGUAGGGAUGACCAGGGAAGUUCUCUAAGUGCUUGAAUUUGAAAAUGUUCCUGUCCUGCUAAGCAUUCAAAAUAUAACAACUACUUUUGGGUGUCAGGGAAAAUAUAUGGAGAAGUACAUUAUUUCCUUUAGGAAUGUAGUGAAGUAAAAGUUGUAAAAAAAAUUGAAAUAAAGUAAAGCACAGAUACUCCAAAAUAUUUAAUUAGUACUUUAAAGUAUUUUUACUGAAGAAUUUACACCACUGAUUCUUGCAUUCUAAAUAACAGGCUCUCUCACUAUCUGGCCAGCUUUCUGAUGAACAGACUGGCUUUAGGAAAGCCAGAGCAUGUAUAGAACACAUCUAAACCACAGGAGGUUGGUGGCCCAUUAAUUUGGGAGGACUGGCUCAUAAUGGUUAGAGCGGAAUAAGUGGAAUGGUAUGAAAUGCAUCAAACACAAGGUUUCCACUGAUCUAUACCGUCUAGAAUUCAAGAAAGAGAACCAACUUCUGAACAAAAACUUCCUGUUUUAUUGAUUUUCAGAAGGCUUUUUAUUGGGUGAGUAGAGACCUCCUUGCUUUUAGACAAAUUAAAAUGGGAAUUGAUGGAUUAUUCUUUGAUGCUAUCAAAGCUCUUUAUCUGACUCCAGUUGCCUGUAUUUAGGUCAGUAACCUCAGGACUGGCUUGUUUCCAACCCCUUUACGGUGUAAAGCAGGGAGACACACUCUCGCCCACUUUAUUUGCACUAUAUGCUAAUGAUUUAGCCCUACAAAUCAAAAAUGCUAAACUUGGUGUUGAAAUUGCAGAUAUAUUCCUGGGCAUCUUGUUGUAUGCUGAUGUCAUAGUUCUCCUUGCUUCCAGAAUAUGUAGAAUAUUGUUAAAUCACGGUGUACUAAAUCGACACUAGUGAUGAAUCAAGAGAAGACCCAGAAGGGUGUGCAGAGAAGUGGACAUGACCCCAUUAUUCUACACUGGGCUCUAUAAUUACCUUGGUUUCACACUGGAUGAACACAUGGCCUUAGAUCACUGGCAGAAUCUGCAGGUAGAGCCUUGGGGUCAGUGUUUAAACCAAAUUAAAAUAUAUAAGGAUCUGGUUUACUUUCAGCUGUAUACAUGUUGUGGGUGUCCAGUGAUGGACUAUGCUGCUGGGGUGUGGGAUCCAACGUGCUUAAUAAUUGUAACAAUGUUCAAAACAGAGCCUUCAGUUUCUUGGAAUGUACAAACUGACUGGGGUUGGGAACCAUGUGUGCCAUGGAUCAUCUAUGGAAAAGACUGAUAAAUGUGCCAGAACACAGAAUCACUAAUAAAGUGUUAGACUGGGAUCUUACUCAUAACUUUCCGUGGGCUAGAGAAUUGUUAUCUAUUUUUUUGUGAUAUAUUCAGGAACAAAUUACUAUGUGAUUCACAAGGAACAAUGGCCAGUUAAUGUUUGGUGCAAACCUAAACUUAGAACGUACACUUUCACCAAAGAGAACUACACCCCUGAACCAUUAUGUCUGCCUGAGCCUAACGAAAAUCCGACACCCUCCCUCUGGCUAUAUAGACGGGUAGAUUUAACAGAGUGCCUGAAGAGGAGACAAUGUGUCUACUGUGUGAUCUUGGCGAAAACUAAAUCUAUUUAGUGUUUUAUUGUCCUCUGUAAGUCGAUCUAAGACGUGUUGUGUCUUGUAAAAAUGAUGAUAACCCUGAAGUAUUCUGGUUAAGGCACAAGCAGAGGCUUGAACUGUGUUUCAGACAGGGCGUAUUUUAAAUUGCUCGGUUUGUCCACAAUGCCUGAAGGAGAAAUGUACAGUUUGUGUAGUGUGGCUAGAUGGUAGCUGUACUGGGCAUUGUUAUUGUAUGGGUAUCAUUUGUAAAAUGUUAUUUAGUUCGGUCUUAUUUUUGGACAUAGGCGGCCCGGAAAAAAAACUCAGGCGGCCCACCCAAGACUUUUCUAUGCUGGAAAAACCCUGCUGCUGUUAGUUGUCACGACAGCGGUCUCCCCUCCCCUUGGACCGCGGCUAAGAACACCCUGGCCUGACACCUGGACAUACUGUACCUGGCCCAAUCCCACCUGGCCCCCUUCUACCUGCUUGUUGAUGCCUCCACAGGUUCUUGCGCCCCCUCAAGUCACCGAUCCUUCUCCGCACACACACAGAAACCUGGAUUCCAUUACUUACCAUGACGUCUUUAUGAAAAGCCAUUUGACCAUCUGACCAAGGCUCUCAGAAACUCAAAAGUAGAGCAUUAUACAUGGAAAAAGUUGGAGAAAAUGGUGCCCUUUGGGAUGCCUUCUGCCUGUUGAGCCCCACCCUGCUUAUUGUAAACUGUUACUUCAGCCCAUCCCCCCAGUUAAACAAAUGAAGGAGAGAGGCUGUGACUAUAAUUGAUGUAGUAAAUGACUUUUCUUGUCAAUGACUUUAUUUGAUGAACUUCCUUUGUUGUGUGUGUGUCCCUUUUUGAAGGUCGAAUAAAGCCAACGUGAUGUGAUGGUAAGUCAUGGAAUCCAGGGUUCUGGGUGUGUGCAGAGUGGGAUCAGUUACUUGAUGGGGGAGAAAGAACCAGUGGAGGCAGGUAGAAGGAGGCCAGGUGAGAUUGGCCCAGGCACAUCUAGGAAUCAGGAGACCAACAGGCAGGUAGAAGGAGGCCAGGUAGGAUUGGCCCAGGCACGUCUAGGAAUCAGGACACCAAUAGGCAGGUAGAAGGUGGCCAGGUGAGAUUGGCCCAGGCAUGUCUAGGAAUCAGGACACCAACAAGCAGGUAGAAGGAGGCCAGGUGAGAGUGGCCCAGGCACGUCUAGGAAUCAGG